GGGUAUGUGAGUUUGAAAUACUCAUCACAGUAUGACUGCAUAGGACUCAUUUCAUGAUUGUAACAAAGACCCCAAGCCAAAGGUCCUCCAGUAGCCACUCCAUAACCACCUGGUACAAGUAUUAUAAGAGCAAUGAACACCACACAGUUGUCCAAUUAAAACACAACUAAAUCAAUCACCUUACUACAUGCAACUCAAAACGCAAACAAUGAAUUCAAAUCAGAUGUCUCCAACUUAUCAUCUCUCGCCAAACAUCUCUCUACCUUAAAAUGCGAUUCAACACAUCAGACACCAUAUGUCAAUCAAAAACCAAAUCAUCUAAAGACAAUGCGUGCCAAACCAACUAAAGAUCCAAUUCCCUUCCCCGCAUUCAAUUUUCCAAAGAUUCACACAUUCAACAACUUAACCGUCGGAGAGAGACAACACAUGUUUUAAUUCAAUAAACCAGACUCAAACGUGAUAACUGAGUGAAUGCAUGAAAAAAUUGACAGCCCCGACUCAGUUCCAAACAAAUCAAGGUUACAGCAUAGUGAUAAAAUCGCACACAAUAAGAAACUCCAAUCAUUCAAAGUUUCAAACACCACCGACAAACAUCGCACAAUCUCAAAAUUGCUUGCUCGACCUAAUUCACGCUCGCACAUUCAACAACUCAACCGUCAAAGAAAAAUCAGACAGAGACAAGAUCAGAUCGCUCAUGUUCAUUUCGACAAAUCAAACUUAAAAAACACGUUCAAAAUCAGAGAAGCCCAAUCGUUAUCCAACACUUACAAAUGCAAAGACUGCGACAAUGCGUGAAAAAUUGACUGCACUGUCUCAGUUCCAGACAAAUCAAAGCUUUAAAGCAUGGCAAUCAAUCCAGACCUCGCAGCAACAAAUCCAAAUCAUCCAAAGUCUCAACUCAAGCACAAAAACACACACAGAUCUCACAAUCUCAAAACCGCAAGCUCAACUUAAACAAAAAAUUUCACACUCCAAACCAAACACACAAUCCAUAAACAAAAUUCACAAAAAUGUGGACUGUAGAGAACUCACAAGAGGUCUUGCUGCCGACAUGUCCGAGGAACGCGGCAAUCUCCAUCAUCUGCAUGGUCUUGUUGCCGGUGGUGCCGAAACCUUGCGGCUCGAAGAGAGAGGCGGCAGCGAUGAAGGAGUGGUAGUCCCAGAAUCCGACAGCGUGCGCCACCGGAGAGUUCCUCUUGGAGAACAGAUUCUCGAACUGGUAGGUCUGGAAAUAGUCCGUUAUAGUGAGAUUACAACAGUAAAUUGACCACCCCUUGCAUUCCCACCCUUUGUCGCAGUACUUCUUCCCGUGCUUGUACUUCACCAGCGUCUUCACGUUUGAGUCCUGCUGCGCCUCCACACGCGCCGCCACCACCGCGAGCACCACCAACGCGAUUGCCGCAACAGCGUUUCGCUUCGCCCUCUCCAUUUCUCUCUCUAUCUCUCUCUCUCUCUCCCUUCACGUACAGAGAAGAGGGAGAAUCUACCAAAUAAUAAUAACACUACGAGUUUUUCUGGUAGAAGGUCCUUCUCCUAUGGCGUUAUGCGU
rnacentral:lncRNA from 1 species